UACGUAGGGUGCAAGCGUUAAUCGGAAUUACUGGGCGUAAAGCGUGCGCAGGCGGUUUUGUAAGUCUGACGUGAAAGCCCCGGGCUCAACCUGGGAACUGCGUUUGGUACUGGCAAGCUAGAGUACGGCAGAGGGGGGUGGAAUUCCACGUGUAGCAGUGAAAUGCGUAGAGAUGUGGAGGAACACCGAUGGCGAAGGCAGCCCCCUGGGCCGAUACUGACGCUCAGGCACGAAAGCGUGGGGAGCAAACAGG
rnacentral:rRNA from 1 species